rnacentral:rRNA from 1 species
UACGUAGGGCGCAAGCGUUGUCCGGAAUUAUUGGGCGUAAAGAGCUCGUAGGCGGUUUGUCGCGUCUGCUGUGAAAACCUAAGGCUCAACCUUGGGCUUGCAGUGGGUACGGGCAGACUAGAGUGCGGUAGGGGUGACUGGAAUUCUCGGUGUAGCGGUGAAAUGCGUAGAUAUCGAGAGGAACACCUGCGGCGAAGGCGGGUUGCUGGGCUGACACUGACGCUGAGGCGCGAAAGCCAGGGGAGCGAACGGG